ensembl:lncRNA
UCCAUUUGGGCGGAUACUCACUCCAGGCCGAGUUUGUUCUAUCCUCCACUCCCUGGCUGAAAACCACGACCUCAUACAUGCAGGUGCUGAUUUAGACUGUUCCAUAGUGAUGAUGGUCAAUGCCUGAUGAAUCUGUUAGUUCAAGACCUUCUCCAAAGUACUUCUGCAAAGACAAAAGAGCAAUACCAGUUGUGGAUUGAGCAAACGUUUCUUUAGUGUAGCGGUGGUAUCACGUUCGCCUAACAUAGGAAAGGUCCCCAGUUUGAAACUGGGCGGAAACACUGUCCAUUUGUCCUGCCUUCUCUGCAGCGGUGGAUCUUCUUGCAACUGGUCAAUAAAAGGACAGCUCUUCCAGGCUGCGCAUAAGGCCACUAAUGAAGCCAACCGAUUGGCAUCAUCUGAGAGAUGUCCUCCUGCAUGCAUUCGUUUGAUUCAGCACUUCUUUGACAACAUUGUCACACUUUUGCUAAGUGACAGAAGUGUGACAAUCUGGAGUCAUGCUUUUAGCAACAGUCUGUUCAGGACCUGUAGUUUCAGUAGUAAAAUAGUGUUAAUCAGCAUGAGUUGUGUUGCAUAGGACAGGAGAAGCCAAGGAGAGUGAACAGUUUGUAGUUGCCUUUUGAAAAGAAGCUCCCCGUCAGGGAAUCGAACCCUGGUCUUCUGCGUGACAAGCAGAGAUACUGUCCACUAUACUAACGAGGAGUGCAUCUGAAAAUUGUCUGGCAGCCUCAACUUCGGUCUUAAGAGGAAGUAUGCACUUGAACUGUGUCCAUUUGGGCGGAUACUCACUCCAGGCCGAGUUUGUUCUAUCCUCCACUCCCUGGCUGAAAACCACGACCUCAUACAUGCAGGUGCUUAUUUAGACUGUUCCAUAGUGACGAUGGUCAAUGCCUGAUGAAUCUGUUAGUUCAAGACCUUCUCCAAAGUACUUCUGCAAAGACAAAAGGGCAAUACCAGUGGUGGAUUGAGCCGAAGUUUCUUUAGUGUAGCAGUGGUAUCACGAUCGCCUAAGUUUGAAACUGGGCGGAAACACUGUCCAUUUGUCCUGCUUUCUCUGCAGCGGUGGCUCUUCUUGCAACUGGUCAAUAAAUGGACAGCUCUUCCAGGCUGCGCAUAAGGCCACUAAUGAAGCCAACCGAUUGGCAUCAUCUGAGAGAUGUCCUCCUGCAUGCAUUCGUUUGAUUCAGCACUUCUUUGACAACAUUGUAACACUUUUGCUAAGUGACAGAAGUGUGACAAUCUGGAGUCUUGCUUUUAGCAACAGUCUGUUCAGGACCUGUAGUUUCAGUAGUAAUAUAGUGUUAAUCAGCAUGAGUUGUGUUGCAUAGGACAGGAGAAGCCAAGGAGAGUGAACAGUUUGUAGUUGCCUUUUGAAAAGAAGCUCCCCGUCAGGGAAUCGAACCCUGGUCUUCUGCGUGACAAGCAGAGAUACUGUCCACUAUACUAACUAGGAGUGCAUCUGAAAAUUGUCUGGCAGCCUCAACUUCGGUCUUAAGAGGAAGUAUGCACUUGAACUGCGUCCAUUUGGGCGGAUACUCACUCCAGGCCGAGUUUGUUCUAUCCUCCACUCCCUGGCUGAAAACCACAACCUCCUACAUGCAGGUGCUGAUUUAGACUGUUCCAUAGUGAUGAUGGUCAAUGCCUGAUGAAUCUGUUAGUUCAAGACCUUCUCCAAAGUACUUCUGCAAAGACAAAAGAGCAAUACCAGUUGUGGAUUGAGCAAACGUUUCUUUAGUGUAGCGGUGGUAUCACGUUCGCCUAACAUAGGAAAGGUCCCCAGUUUGAAACUGGGCGGAAACACUGUCCAUUUGUCCUGCCUUCUCUGCAGCAGUGGAUCUUCUUGCAACUGGUCAAUAAAAGGACAGCUCUUCCAGGCUGCGCAUAAGGCCACUAAUGAAGCCAACCGAUUGGCAUCAUCUGAGAGAUGUCCUCCUGCAUGCAUUCGUUUGAUUCAGCACUUCUUUGACAAUAUUGUCACACUUUUGCUAAGUGACAGAAGUGUGACUAUCUGGAGUCAUGCUUUUAGCAACAGUCUGUUCAGGACCUGUAGUUUCAGUAGUAAAAUAGUGUUAAUCAGCAUGAGUUGUGUUGCAUAGGACAGGAGAAGCCAAGGAGAGUGAACAGUUUGUAGUUGCCUUUUGAAAAGAAGCUCCCCGUCAGGGAAUCGAACCCUGGUCUUCUGCGUGACAAGCAGAGAUACUGUCCACUAUACUAACGAGGAGUGUAUCUGAAAAUUGUCUGGCAGCCUCAACUUCGGUCUUAAGAGGAAGUAUGCACUUGAACUGUGUCCAUUUGGGCGGAUACUCACUCCAGGCCGAGUUUGUUCUAUCCUCCACUCCCUGGCUGAAAACCACAACCUCAUACAUGCAGGUGC